AAGGCUUGCUGCGGAUUUGCUGCCAAUUUGCUCUCGUAUCUUGUGCGCAAGUGUUGCUCAGUGUUUGGUGCUUAUUUGGUGCUAAGUUAUGCGCAGCAAAACUUGCGUUGUUUUUGCUGCAAAUUUACUGCAAGUUGCCCCGCAUCAAGCCUUGACGUCAAAACACAAUCCUAAAGAGGACACAGUUGCAUAUGAUUUUGGCAUCAAGUUUUGAUCGAAUUUGCUGCCAAUUUGCGCUCAAUUUGCACUCUUUUGCUCAUUGGGAAAUUAUGAAAAUGUCCUUUGUCUCUUCUUUGUUUAUUUAUUGGACGUACUGCCCAACGACGUUUUUUUCUGUGUGCUUUAGCAGUUGAUGUUGCAUUAGCAGCAUAAUGUUAACCCAAUGAUUGUUAUAAACAUUGCACAUACAACUACCUUAUUUGAAUCCAUUUCAUUAAUACAAAGAAUAUCAAAAUAGUUAAAAGUGAGAUAAUACACGUUUGACAGUUUUUAAUAAACUCAAAACGGUAGUCUAUAUUAGAAUUUAUCUAUGAUUUACGGUAUACAGCAAACCAUUAUAAACCAGAAAGUCUAAAUUAGCGGCAUAAGUUAACGGCCGUUAAGUUACCGGCAUACGGUUACGGCCAGCAUAAAUGGGCCUUAAUUCCCUAGAACCUAUUUUCGUGAAUAAGGUAGUAAGUUUUGUUAUCUUACAGCAUACUGAAAAUGAUUUCGGAACGUGAAAACAGUACUGUCAGUACCAGGCCCCUGACAUUUGCUAUUAUAUCCUUUGUUACGGUAUGUCUACGUAAUGAAGCCAAGCCGCUACGUGGCGCUAGCAACAGUCACCAUGUGUUUACGUCUGUAAUUUCAAUGACUUGAGGACGAAAAUGUGAGAAAAGCAUGGUAAGCAGCUUUAAGGAGAAACGAUAUAGUUGUUUUGAGUUGAUAUAACUAUCAACUCAAAACAAGCUGUAUGCCAUCAUCACUUUUUAAGUAGUGAUAUUUUGUGGAAACGUGAAAUUUGUGAUGAGAAGGGAAAUGUUCUUGGUGUGUCUGCGCCAUUUAAAAUUCCAAGGCUACGUAAAGGGGUUGUGCCUUCACAAUUCCCCUGGUUUGAAGAAACCCCAAAUAUAGAAGAUAUAUAUUCUAUACAUAUUGAUCAAAAUGUACAUGACCUGCAUAUUGAACAACAUGAAGAAAAUGAACAUGUGAUAGUACCAUCAUUAAAUAAUACAAUAGAGGAUCGUACGACAAUGUUAUCAUUUGAUAGCUUAAUAGAUAGUAUAAACAGAAAACAGUUUAAUAUGCCAAGUCAAUGGAUGCACAUACAAUAUUGCAGUAGUGACACACGAUUAUUGGUAUUUUUUUUAGCAACAUGCAACAAAAUAGAAAAUUAUAAUGACAGAUAUUCAUUUAACCCUAUCAAAGAAGUCAUACUCAAAGAAGAUAUGACAUUACAAAUAAAUGUCUUAAAGCAACCCGUUUUAAAUACUCCAUCACACAUACAGAUUUAUAAUAAUAUAAAUAGAAUAGAACUGCUACAAGAGAUAUUAUUUUCUUUUGAUAGUCUUGACAUAUGUUGUGGUACAAAUAAAAGUGAGAUUAAAGAUGUUGAAUAUAAUGAAGCUUUUAAAGAUAUUAAUGGUAUAUGGAGACACAAGAAAUGUUUAUUACUUUCAUCUCAGAAAUGUAAAUUUUGUGCCAUUGCAAACAAAUCUAUAAAUCAAAAAUACCGUCGGAGAAAAAUAAUGAAAUCAAUUAAAA